rnacentral:misc_RNA from 1 species
UAUGCGAUGCACUUGACAUUGUUUAUAUUUUGCGAUCGCAAAAAUACUCAAUAUUUAAUGAGAAAACUUGUUAAAAUUUCUAAUUGGAUAUCAUUGUGAAUAAAUAUCAAAAUGCUCGUCCAAUUCGUGUUAAAUACUUAGCAGCUACGUGUUAAAAUUUCUAUGAAUUUGCCUUAGGAGUAAAAACUUUGUUUUUUACGAGCUAUUAUGUGUUAAAUACGAUAAGAAAAUGCGUUGUAGUGUGCCUAAUUGUUCAAAUGAUACGAAACGAACAACUAAGAGCCAUGGGAUCACGUUUCACAUGUUCCCUAAGGAGCCGAACCUUCGCACGGCGUGGGUGGAAGCCCUGGGCCUGGUGGAGUGGGAGCCCAAGGACCGCAGCACCAUCUGCUCCGAGCACUUCCGCAACGAAGACUUCUACCUCACCAAGUGUGGGCUGAGGAGGGUUAAGAACGGAGCUGUACCAGUCACAGUGCAGGACUCCACUGAAGAUCUGGAUGCGCCUGCAGCACUUAGGGUGUGCAGGAUAUGUCUGACGAUGGACGCGAGGAUGUACCACAUAAGAGAGUACAAGCUGGACCAGGUCUACCACCAGGUCACUGGUUUGUCGAUAUCAGAUGAUGACAAGUUACCACAGAAGCUGUGCUGGGAGUGUGCACACCGGCUGGUCACCUGCUCACGUCUCAAGGGCAGAGCGGCGCGGAGUCAGGGCUUGCUGAUGGAGACACUGGUUAUGUAUGAUUAUAUAACAAUAAGGGACAUCAAAUCGAUCAACCGGGCACACAGCAACCUGAAAACAACCUUAGUGACUAAGUACUUUGACCCCAAUGACUACGAUAUACACGUGAAGGACAACCAGGUGUUCGUCAAGACUGAAUCAUCACCGGUUGAUGAUGAUGAUGACAUGAAGGAGGAGCUGGUGUUCGAUGACGGAAUUGGUGAAGACAUUGUACCAAUACCGCCUAUUAUGGAAGUGGAAAUAAAGGACGAACAAUCAGGGGAAAUAUUUUUCGAAGAAUUCCCGGACAAUUUCGAAUCGGACGAUGAUAAGAAAUUGAGUGAGGUGAUAACGGAAAGGAGGGAUAAAACCGAGAAAAGGGAGAAGAAGAUGAAGAAGAAAAAGUUGAAGAUGGAAAAGGUCGAGAAGAAAGUGAAGACGGUGAAGAAACGAGAGGCGAGAGGCGUGGGGAAGAAAGACGAGGAAGAUGAGGAUCCUUCCACUACUAUGGAUAAGUACAAAAAUUCGGACGUGAGGCGUCGAAAAACUCAAGAUGGGCUCGACGAGUCGUUAUUCACGAUUACAACACUCAGCUACGAAGAACAGAUAUCGGAGAUUGAGAAGCGGCAAGAGUCCACCAACUACCGCACCGCGCCGUUCAAGUGCGGCGUGUGCUACCGUGGUUUCAUGAUACGAGACCGCUACGACGCGCACACGCAGAGACACAGCGAGGCGAGUGGUGCGUACGAGUGUUUCAUCUGCAAGACGCGUCUGAAGACGGGCCGCGCGCUGAGGAAGCACCUCACAGCGCAACACACGGAAAAAUUCAGCUGCAAAGGGUGCCCGUUCGUUACUAGGAAUAGGGGUGUGGCUCGGGAGCAUGAGAAGUGGCACGCUGGAACCAAGUACCAGUGUCCGCACUGCCCGAGUGAGUUCGACAAGCUGACGACGUACAUGGGACACAUUCGCAUAAAGCACGUGUCAGACUUCGUGUGCGAACUGUGCGGGUACACGUUCGUCAGCAAGAAGGGCAUCGACGUCCACAAGAAGAAGAAACAUCGGCUGGACGAUAAGAUGCAGGUGCCAAUAGACGGUCCAUACUGCGAGGUAUGCGACGUGCGGUUCAUAUCGGAGGAGGCGCACUCGAGGCACCUCAAGCUGUCCUCCAGGCACAGCAGCGACAAUGACCCUAACCGUAUAAGAAACGACUCGCAAAGCAUGAACGCAGAGAAGAAUGGGCGCGUAAUGCGCAAGAUAGAGAGGAGACCCGUCAUACACCCGAGAGACCCCACACAGAGAGACCCCAGCCGGCCCGAGCCCUCCGGCCCUGUCACCUGCGAACAGUGCGGCAUCCAACUGCGCGAUCUCCGUCUAUACGCGCAGCACUUCCGUCGAGCGCACCCGGACAAGAAUCGAACCAAAUACCCCGCCAUGAAGACGCCUUGUAUGUGCGAGCAGUGCGGUCGGAUAUUCCAGAGCAUGGCCCUUCUCAAAGACCACAUGUGGGUGCAUACGGGCGAGAAGCGGUUCAAAUGCGAUCGUUGCUCCAAGUCGUUCACCCAGAAGACCAACCUGGUGUUCCACAUGAGGGUGCACAGCAACGCGCGCCCCACCUACGAGUGUCCGCUGUGCGGGAAGCACUUCGCCUUCUUCAACAACCGCAGGAGGCAUAUGUUUAUCCACACAGGCCUGAAGCCCUUCAAAUGCGACACCUGCGGGAAGUGCUUCACGACGUCAGGCGAGCAGCGCGCCCACGUGGAACAUGUACACAUGAAGAAGCCCUGGCCGAAGAGGGUGAGGCAGCGGCCGCAGGACUGGGCCAACAAGAUGCCGCCCUGCGAGGACUAGCUGUACUAACUUGGUAGGGUCGAUAUUCGUAAGGUCUGUGGGAUCACUAAGGUCUGUGGGAUCACUAAGGUCUGUGGGAUCACUAAGGUCUGUGGGAUCACUAAGGUCUGUGGGAUCACUAAGGUCAGUGGGAUGACUAAGGUCUGUGGGAUGACUAAGGUUAGUGGGAUCACUAAGGUUAGUGGGAUCACUAAGGUUAGUGGGAUCACUAAGGUUAGUGGGAUGACUAAGGUCAGUGGGAUCACUAAGGCCGUGAUUUUCGUGGUCAAUGGGGUCUGAGGUCAGCAAUACCGCUAAAAGUGAUCCUGCGAGAACUAGGUGCACUAACUUGGUAUGGUCAAGGUUGGUAAGGUCAGCGCGCUUUUAUAACAGGACCUAAUCGAUACGAAACAAACGAGAUUUUAAUAGGCCUUCUGAUGUAAAAGUUAUUGUAGGUAGAUAGUACUCGAAAGGUAGGUUAUAGGAAAAUGGAUCUCAGAAUUGGGUAGUUUCCUGGAUCAAAGAUAAAUUAUGUAAUUCUGAUUACUAAAUAAAGACAGAUCUGUGACAAAAAUCGUUUUCUUUUUGUCUAUAUAACUUAUUUAUGAAUUUAAAUAAAGAAAAAUAAAUAAAUAAAUAAUAAUAAUAAGCGCGAUAUUUUGUCACGUUUUUCUAUGAAGUCACAGGUUUUUUCAUACAAAUUCCAUAGUGAUUUAGUGUUGUUGACGUUCAGUAAAAAGUAACUGAUUUGACUUGUUGGAAACUACCAUGUUACUAGAUGUAGCUACUGGAUUAAAAUAGAGAUUACAAAUUCUAAUGUGUGGUUGUAGUACGAGUGAUUUUUGUAUGAGUGAGUUUUGGCGGCAAUGUUGUUUUUUUUUUAUCGAAUGCGUUUGCUUUUGACGCCGUGGUAGCCCAGUUGGUAGAACGCUUUCCUCUCACUUUGAGGUCGCGGGUUCGAAUCCAGCACAGGCCUGAACCAAAGAUUGUCGAAUUCAUAAUUGGAUCAUAUAUGAUUAUCACGUUCUCAGCGGUGAAGGAAAACAUCGUGAGGAAACCCACAUUCCCCAGAUGCAUUUUCGGAGGUAUGUGACCUAACCUGUAUUGGGCUGGUUUUCCCUUCGCGGGUUGGAAGGUCAGACAGGCAGUCGCUUCUGUAAAAAACCGGACCUGUCAAAUGUUCAGGUUAGGUAAGCGGACCCUGUGGAAAACGGGAUAAUGCUAGGGGGCUGGGUUUGCUCUUGACGCCAUUCCGCCUCUGAUAAGCCUGAAUGAGGUGAAUGUGGACGGUGUAACGAGCUAGUGUUUAACGAAGGUAUGAGUCCGCGCCACGGAAGAAAGCCUAGGUAUGGAAUAAGGAAUAAUACUAUGUAUGGACCGGCAUCUCUGCGCUCCCCACCAGCGUCUGAGCUAGGCUUACCUCACCCACACUCUUUCUCCUCACUUUCUCUUCUCACUUUAGUCUCCAAUAGUAUAGCGUCAGACGUCAGACACACGAAUCCGCGUGUACGAUAACGUCAUUGGCCCCGAUUCCUGCCAAGAGGAAUGAUAAUUUUAAAAGGAAUUAAAUAGCAACCCGGGCGAAUCAAAUAGGCAUCUCGCUGGUAUGUUUAGUUUGACUAGUGAUGUCAACUUAUACUGUCGGGUUACCAAUGUAAAGUUUGGCGAGGGUUGUUUAAGAUUUCGGCCUAAAAUAACUUUACUUAUAAAUUUUAUAUGCCUGUCGAUUGCCCGUCCCUUUUCUUUUCGGCGGAUAAAAAAAUGACAGAAGUCAAUUAUCAUGACUUCAUCCAUGGCGCGGACUCCACCUUACAGACACCCCGCUAGCCACAAGUUGAUGGUGGAACUAGGAAUCGACGAUCAAACGGUUCUGGUUGUGUAUAUGCGUCGCGCUGUGUAAACUUCGUUAGCGCGUUUUAGGACUCGAUAAGCGCCAUCUAUGAUGAAUGUGCGGAACUAGUAGAUCCGCCACGGAGUCUCAUAGAAAAUUUCAUUUAUAAGGAUUGAUAAGCGAAGGAGCAUAAUAUUUGAAAGCUCAUUUACCCAAUGUAUGAAAAGAAAAAUAGAAGGUGUUCCAUUUUGUUAUAGGAAAAUAAAGGUAGUUAUGAUUUUAAAGUACAAUAAGCUGCAAAAGUCCAGUUUUUUUGCAAAGUAAUAAAUUAACUGCUUGCACUUAAGACCUCUGGUUACA